CUCUACCUCGUGGAUGGUAUGCAGAAUGUUCUUUAAAUAGACAAGUCAUUUUACAGGAAUGACACACUCUCACAUGUUGUUACAGGUGCUACAUCUGAAUCGAAAUCGGCGACACUCUUUACUUUGCGAAUCGAUUAAGGACCCCUGUACUAUCUUUGUAAACCACUUUUACUCCAGAGGGACCAAAAGUAACUCUUAUACUUUUCACUUUCGGUUAUGACGUUACAUUAACGGAUAGUUGACACUACACCAGGCUUUAAAGGACGGAUCAGUCUACGAAUAGCAACGAUUAUCAGAAGCCUGAGUUAAGAGCUGAUAUCGAUAGAUGGAAGUGACGUCACGUUCGACGACCAUGGCGUCAUCUAAAGCUUACCGUACGAUUCUGACAAUAUGCAGUCUAUCCGACUUUCUCCGCCAACACCAAUUAACACAACGGCAAGCACACACGUACAGGAAGGAACGACAAAACAUAUAAAACGGCAAGGAGUGCAUUAGGAAACAACAUCGUCAAAGAAUGCAUAGACAACGACGUGCAAGCGGCCAGUACUAUUACAAACUACCCUUUCAAACAGUACGACAACACUACUUAUUGGCCAUGUUGAGCGAGGAAAACCUACACUAUUUUUUAUUUGAAAAAAGACAUUCGUGUUUUUUUAACACCUUAGCUUAUUUAAUCAGCACAUUGUAAAUA
rnacentral:lncRNA from 1 species